UCUAGGUUUUCUUGGGAGGAAUUGGGAGGGCUUGGUGGAGAAGGUCUGUGCCAGACUGUCCAAAUGGCAAUGGUUGCUGCCCCAGAUGUCCUAUAGGGGGCAAGUUCUGGUCGUUAAUAACUUGGUUGCUUCGUUGCUGUGGCACAAACUGUCUAUCCUCCCUC